ensembl:lncRNA
CUGAGACCAACCACUUUCAUGUCAUCUCCUAGAGCCUUCCUUUCUUCCUCCUGGUUUUUCAUUGACAAAGUGGGAACUUAAUGCUUCAUUUAGGGGUGUGUUGCAGGCCAUUCCAUUGCAUAAUGGAAGCAGAGUUCCUGGCACACGUUAGGUACCCAAUAAUAAAAGCUAUUAUAAUGAUCAAUUAUAUUACUUAUUUACUUUUGUACCCUUAGGGCCUGGCAUAGUGCCUGAUGUAUGAUGGCUGCAAAAUAAAUUUCUGGUGAAUUAAUUUAUAAGCUUACAGAAUAUGGCUUUAAAAUACAAAAAAGAAUGUCUCUUUGUAGCAUUUAUAGACUUGGGCAGUAUUCCAUGCACUGCCCCUUCUCACUUUUUUCCCCCAAACAUCCUGUCUGGUAUCUAUCCCUGGGCACUAUCUUUCCUAGCCAUUGGGAAAUCAACGGCUACUGAGUUGGACGACUUAGCGACUAAACCACCACCACCAUAUAGCUAUAGAAAGUCUAUUGACACAUAGAUGUAGCUUAAGAGAGUUAAAGAGGAAUUUUCUGCCUUGAUCAUCACAUCCUUCAUCUACAUAGUUUAUUGCUUAAGGACCAGGGUUUUUAGUUUAGUUAACCUCUACAUUCUCUCUAAAUCUGGCAACUAACUCCUGACCACAAUAAUCUGAUUGAGAGGAAAUCCAUUCUACUGCUAACUCCAGACUCCCCCUGGGCUGUUAUUUCCAGGCUAGUCACCUGUCUCAGUGUUGACAAAACACGUCAGCUCAUUUGCAUUCCACCUCCUAUCUUUCCCCUAUUUCUUUUGAGGAAGAUGUUUGUGAAUUAUUUUAAGCCAGUUGAAUCACUCUGAGAGUUAAGUGCUAUAUUUAAGCCUUUGAGGAACAGUUGAGAAGGAAUGAUUUAGGGAUGUGAACCAUUUCACAAUAAUAUCCCACAGAAACUUGAAGUUUGUGGUAAGUUUCAGCAUAUUAAGAUACUAGAGAUAAGUAGGUCAUUGUUCUCAGAUGCAAAAUACUAAGCAGCAGCAGCAGGACCAAUUAUAAAAUACCAAGGUACAUUGACAUAUACCAUGUUUCCUAUUAAGAAAAUUUGUAGUAAUUGUUGAGUUUGAUUUCUUCUUUCAAGUAGGAACCUGUGAUUUACUCUUCCUGGGGGAAGCCUUUCACACUAGUAACAUCCGAGGAGCUGAG